rnacentral:tRNA from 1 species
UUAAAAAUAAGCUAAGUAAGCUUUUGGGCUCAUCCUCAAAUAUAAAGGAAAUUCCUUUUUUAAA